rnacentral:lncRNA from 1 species
AUACCUUAAACAGUCCAUUCAAUAGUACUUCUAACUGAGCUUCUCAAUAUUUACCAUGCAUAUAGCUGUAUUCCAGUUAAGAUUUUCCAAGAAAAAUUCUAAACAGCACAAUUCUCAUGACUGGCUAUACUACCUUUUGUGCCAGAUAUUUCACAAGAAGAUGUUGUUCACACCUCUGAUCUUUCUAAACUUUACAACCUUCGGGAACUAAAACAAAGUAUCCACAUCAUAUCCUUUCUUAUAGUUUUUAAUAUCUAUAAAAAAUGUUCAAACAUGUUGAAUAAUCAUAUCUUUACUACAUCUCUAAAUCCACCACCUGACUCUUGCUAUAAGAAGAACGAGAGCAACUCUGUAGAUAUAAAUGUUAUUUCCAAAAGUAGGAUUACCUCAGUUUAAAUGUUAUUUCCAAAAGUAGGAUUACCUCAGUUUAAAUGUUAUUUCCAAAACUAGGAUUACCUCAGUUUAAAUGUUAUUUCCAAAAGAGGAUUACCUCUUUUCUUACUACUUUUUUUCAAUCAUCAGAAAUAAACAGAAUAGAUAAAAUAACAUAAAACAUAAAAAUAAGAGAUUUCAACAAAACUGCUAGUUCUGUUGGAUUCUGCGGUAAGGAGUAUGUUAUGAACAUAAGGAAACUAAAGUA